rnacentral:rRNA from 1 species
CCUACGGGAGGCAGCAGUGGGGAAUUUUGCGCAAUGGACGAAAGUCUGACGCAGCAACGCCGCGUGGGUGAUGAAGGUCUUCGGACUGUAAAACCCUGUCGUCAGGGACGAAGGUGGGGGCGUUAAUAGCGCUUUCAUUUGACGGUACCUGGAGAGGAAGCCCCGGCUAACUCUGUGCCAGCAGCCGCGGUAAUACAGAGGGGGCAAGCGUUAUUCGGAAUUAUUGGGCGUAAAGGGCGCGUAGGCGGUUUUUUAAGUCAGAUGUGUAAUCCCCGAGCUUAACUUGGGAACUGCAUCUGAGACUGGAAGGCUGGAGUACUGGAGAGGGUGGUGGAAUUCCUCGUGUAGCGGUGAAAUGCGUAGAGAUGAGGAGGAACACCAGUGGCGAAGGCGGCCCACCUGGACAGUAACUGACGCUGAGGCGCGAAAGUGUGGGUAGCAAACAGGAUUAGAUACCCUGGUAGUCCACGCCCUAAACGAUGUCAACUGGUUGUUGGGUCUUUACUGACUCAGUAACGAAGCUAACGCGUGAAGUUGACCGCCUGGGGAGUACGGCCGCAAGGUUGAAACUCAAAGGAAUUGACGGGGACCCGCACAAGCGGUGGAUGACGUGGUUUAAUUCGAUGCAACGCGAAAAACCUUACCCACCUUUGACAUGUACGGAAUCCUUUAGAGAUAGAGGAGUGCUCGAAAGAGAGCCGUAACACAGGUGCUGCAUGGCUGUCGUCAGCUCGUGUCGUGAGAUGUUGGGUUAAGUCCCGCAACGAGCGCAACCCUUGUCAUUAGUUGCUACAUUCAGUUGGGCACUCUAACGAGACUGCCGGUGACAAGCCGGAGGAAGGUGGGGAUGACGUCAAGUCCUCAUGGCCCUUAUAGGUGGGGCUACACACGUCAUACAAUGGCUGGUACAAAGGGUUGCCAACCCGCGAGGGGGAGCUAAUCCCAUAAAGCCAGUCGUAGUCCGGAUCGUAGUCUGCAACUCGACUGCGUGAAGUCGGAAUCGCUAGUAAUCGUGGAUCAGAAUGUCACGGUGAAUACGUUCCCGGGUCUUGUACACACCGCCCGU